UACAGAGGUCUCAAGCGUUGUUCGGAUUCAUUGGGCGUAAAGGGUGUGUAGGUGGCGCGCUAAGUCGGGUGUGAAAUUUCGGAGCUUAACUCCGAAACUGCAUUCGAUACUGGCGUGCUUGAGGACUGGAGAGGAGACUGGAAUUUACGGUGUAGCAGUGAAAUGCGUAGAUAUCGUAAAGAAGACCAGUGGCGAAGGCGGGUCUCUGGACAGUUCCUGACACUGAGACACGAAGGCCAGGGGAGCAAACGGG
rnacentral:rRNA from 1 species